CGGGUGAGUAAUGUAUGGGGAUCUGCCUGAUGGGCGGGGAUAACUACUGGAAACGGUAGCUAAUACCGCAUAAUGUCUGCGACAAGCCGGGGGACCUCCGGGCCUCGCGCCAUCAGAUGAAACCCAUAUGGGAUUAGCUUGUAGGUAAGGUAACGGCUUACCUAGGCGACGAUCCCUAGCUGGUCUGAGAGGAUGAUCAGCCACACUGGGACUGAGACACGGCCCAG
rnacentral:rRNA from 1 species